rnacentral:lncRNA from 1 species
AUGCUGCCAAAAAAUAAAGGCUUCAAAAGAGAAGAGACAAAUAGAGAGCCUUGUACCCAUGCAGUUGGCUGUCUUCUUUUGUAUACACUGGCUACACAAAAUGGGAAAUUCUGCCUUUGCUUCAGCAUAUUUCCUCCACAGUGGCAGGUGAGUGGUUUGGAGAGCCCUGGAGAAGGCACUGGACUGAGGAGCACCAUUUUUACUCAUGGACAUCACGACAGUCACAUGAAAUCUGCAGUUACAGUGUUUAGUAAUCUGCACGAGUUGGACUGACCUUGGCUGGAUAUCUGGUGCCCACCAAGAUGCUUUAUCAUUCCCCCUUUCUCGGUGUGACAGCGGAGAAAAACAAUGAUUAAAGGCUGGUGGGCGAGGUAAGGACAAAAAUAUCCCUCACACAUCACCAGCAUGGACAAGAUAGACAGCUCUGGGG